rnacentral:misc_RNA from 1 species
GGUCGCAGUGAUUUUCACCAAAGGCGGAUUCAUUCUCGGGGUCGGCGGCGGCGAAGGCGUGCUGACGCUCCGAAACAAGAACUAUCCGUUCACCGUAUCAGGGAUGAGUGUCGGCUUUACGAUCGGAGCCUCGACCACCAAGCUGGUCGGACGGGCCUUUAAUCUGAGGGGACCGGCUUCGAUUGAAGGCACAUACAAUGCAGCCGGAGCGGGUGGCGCCAUUGCGGCUGGCGCUGGAACUGUUCAAUUGAAGAACGUCAAUGGCGUCGUCCUGCAACUGAGCGGGCCGAAGGUCGGCGCCGAAGUGUCGGCCGCGAUUGGC